rnacentral:rRNA from 1 species
GCGCGUAGGAGUCUUGAGAAGGGCUGUCCCUAGUACGAGAGGACCGGGACGGACGAACCUCUGGUGUGCCAGUUGUUCUGCCAAGGGCAUGGCUGGUUGGCUACGUUCGGGAGGGAUAACCGCUGAAAGCAUCUAAGCGGGAAGCCUGCUUCGAGAUGAGGACUCCCACCCACUUGAUGGGGUAAGGCUCCCAGUAGACGACUGGGUUGAUAGGCCGGAUCUGGAAGCCAGGUAACUGGUGGAGGUGACCGGUACUAAUAGGCCGAGGGCUUGUCCUCAGUUG